rnacentral:lncRNA from 1 species
UGUGAGAGGAAUUAUAAAAUUACAACAUGAAAUGGGUUGUAGAUCUAGCACACUCCUCGUUAUUAUUUGUGUAGAGCUACUAUAUUAUUGGAAGUAUAGAAGAUUUGAUGCUUCUGAUUUUUUGACCCUUGGUUCAAGAAUUUUACGAUUGAGAUGAUUGUGGUCCCUCCUAGGGUUGAGCAGUACUCCUAGAGUUGAGUGGUUCCUAUAAGGUAAUAGUAUUAAUCUAAAGGUUAAAAAUGAUUAAAGGGGCUGAUAUAAGGGCCAAAAAGUCGGAAGCAUCAGAUCCUUUUUACUUCCGAUAGUAUAAUAACUCAACUCUUAUUAUAUAUAUAUAUAUAUAUAUAUAUAUAUAAAAUUAGGCUAUAAUGCUAUAAAUAGCAUCAAGUUGUUGACGCUAUUAUAUAGGUUUUCGGCCCUUGGAUGAAGAAAUGUACGUUUAGAAUGACAUGGACCCCUUAAAGUUGGAUGAGUUGUUGGUUGAAUAGUAUAAUUUAAUGGGUGAAAAUAGUCAGAGUUAAUCUAACGGUAGAAAAUUCGAUAGCGCCAAGUGCUUGGUGCUAUCGAGAGUAUCCCAGCCGGACUCUCUCUCUCUCUCUCUCUC